CUGGGUCCUGACCCUGGUCCUGGUUCUGGUCCUGGUCCUGGUCCUGGC
rnacentral:miRNA from 1 species